CGCCCGUCGCUCCUACCGAUUGGGUGUGCUGGUGAGAUGUCGGGAUUAGUGGCUGUGGGCGGUUCGCCGCCCUCUGCCGCUGAGAACUUCAUCAAACCCUCCCACCUAGGGGAAGGAGAAGUCGUAACAAGGUUCCU
rnacentral:rRNA from 1 species